rnacentral:rRNA from 1 species
UACGGAGGGUGCAAGCGUUAUCCGGAUUCACUGGGCUUAAAGGGUGCGUAGGUGGGUUGGUAAGUCAGUGGUGAAAUCUCCGAGCUUAACUUGGGAACUGCCAUUGAUACUAUCAGUCUUGAAUACCGUGGAGGUCAGCGGAAUAUGUCAUGUAGCGGUGGAAUGCGUAGAGAUCCGGAAGAACACCGGAGGCGAAGGCGGCUUGCUGGGCGUAGUCUGACGCUGAGGCGCGAAAGCGUGGGGAGCGAACAGG